rnacentral:rRNA from 1 species
GCACGCGGUAGCUGCGCAAUUUUGUGUCGUUGAAGUCGGUGUGCACUUCUCCCCUAGUAGGACGUCGCGACCCGUUGAGUGUCGGUCUAAGGCCCGCGAGGUUGACUGCCGGCGCGUUGAUUUUUCGAAAUUGACGUCGUCGGUAGACCCGCGGUCGCCCGACCGACUGCUCGGCGGUAUAAAUUGUUUGAAUGUUCAAUGGUAUCGAGCCGCAUUUUUUUAUGCGUUCUUUAUGACUCGUCGGCAGGUGAGCCUCGCCUCGGAUUUACGGACCUGGUGCCGUUGUCGAGCGAGUCGUUUGCCGUUUUGCCGACGAUGUUCUCGGACGGGCUCUAUAAAGGCGCGCGUUCGCGCGCGCCUUUUGUUACCAGUCAGCGACGCUACUGCUUUGGGUACUUUCAGGACCCGUCUUGAAACACGGACCAAGGAGUCUAACAUGUGCGCGAGUCAUUGGGACUUGUUUAUAAUAAGCCUAAAGGCGCAAUGAAAGUGAAGGUCCGCUCUGAUGCGCGACCGAGGGAGGAUGGCUUCGAGAUUUGGAAUGAUUUUUUUUGUUUCUUUUUUCGAGGCU